ensembl:lncRNA novel transcript
GCCCUUUUUUCCCUGGGAGUAAAUUGGGUCAGAGUGUUCCCAGAAUUUACAUUUCAAUUAAAAAUACAAUAAUAACACAUUGUGCUAAUAGUGAAUGAUUCCGACUCAGGGGAAGAUGACACCGCCCGCUACUUUGUUAAUGAAAAGCCCCCUUCAUUCGGACGGGCCACACAUCAGCGUUAUUGGUGAUGGCAUCGGAGAGCUGCCACGGACCCCUCCCCCAGGCCUUUGUGAGUGGAUUUAACUUUAAAAACAUCUCCCGUUAGCCUCUGAGGCUGGAAUCUGAUAGAAACUUCAGCCCAGGGCUGCAGGAAACCUGAGUGCCUGGUCUUGCUGCUUCUUUGAGAAAAAGCCACUUGCCUGCCCAGUAUGGUGGUGGUGAAGCUAAGGCCGUCGCUCGUUUUGAAAAGGCCCCUGCCUCACUGGUUUUCAGAGUUGGUCUACAAAUCCCCCAGAUAAGAGAAUCCUCUGUGGGGCUUUCUUCCGUGGAAUGGCCACUGACUGAUGCUGAGGUGCUCACUCAAUUCAUAAUCGGAGAUGGCAACAAUAUCCCAUAAGUCAAGGUUAGAGAAGGCCUGGGAAUGUGUGACCCCUAAAGACUGACUAACUUCAAGACUAACUUCAGGAUGGGCCCAUGGGGAAGGGAGUUGAAGUUGGGAGCACAGCCAAAGGGAGGAGAAUGUGGUUUCUGGCCACUUGUGAUAGGUCACUCCCUGGUCAUCUGGCCUGAGGGUCAGUGUGGUCCCUGUACCAGUGUGACUCAAUGUGAUCCUCUGACUGAGGAAACAGGGCGUGUGCCCAGGGCCCUGCUAACAAUACUCCUGGACACGUUCAAGCAUCAGAGUGGACUACAGAGGUUGAUGAAGGGGCUGCUUCAGAGUGGACUUGGUACUUCUUCGUCAACCACCCUGAUGGCCCAGGCAGCUGAGCAGUGGAGACGGAGGAUUCUCACGGUGUCCACCUCCCAGGAGCCACUUCAUUUUUACCAACGUCUCAGGCACACUGGGCUGCAUCUGCUACCUAUACCGGCAGAGAACCCCAGCCGUGUGAGGUGGGCUGAUGUCCUCUCUCAGCUAUUGCACUCCCAUACUUCAGCAGGGUGGAAAGGGGGGAUUUCCAUCCUGUGUUGAGUAGAUGUCCAGACAUAGUGGGCCAGCUGGGGAUCUGCUUGUGCUGUUUGGGCAUGUGGUGGUGUGAAUAAAGGGCAUUGAUGAGUC